CUUGGCCUUGCCGCGAUCGAGAGAGCGCGCAAGCGUCAGGCCUCUCGACUGACUUGGCUCAGGCUGGGCGACGUGGGAACCAAAAUUUUCCAUGCAAAGUUCCAUUCACGCCGAAGGAAGAACUACAUCCACAACCUACUGACGAACGACGGGGUCACCACGUCGCACGAAGACAAGGAAGCAGCCAUCUUCGAACACUUCAAAUCCAUCCUAGGCUCCAAAGGGACUCGACCAACAACCAUCAACUGGAGCCAACUUCAACUGCCCACAAUCAGAGGAGGUGGCCUAGAUAACCCUUUCAGAGAGGACGAGGUU
rnacentral:rRNA from 1 species